GUCCUUUCGUCCUCCUUUCAACCCCGUUAUUAGCACCACGCUGUCACGUUGGGUGAAGUGGUUAUUGACUCAGGCGGGCAUUGAUACCAAGAUCUUUGGCGCCCAUUCGGUCAGGGGGGCCUCGGCCUCUUUGAUGAUGAUUGCUGGUGUGCAUUUGGAGGACCUCAUGAGGAUGGCUGACUGGUCAAGGGAAUCUACUUUCUGGGAAUUUUACUUUUGACUGGCCCCUCAUACGUUUGCUGCAGUAGAGGAUCAGCUUUAAACUUGCAAUAUGAGCC